AUUGAACGCUGGCGGCAUGCCUUACACAUGCAAGUCGAACGGUAACGCGGGGCAACCUGGCGACGAGUGGCGAACGGGGGAGUAAUGUAUCGGAACGUGCCCAGUUGUGGGGGAUAACUGCUCGAAAGAGCAGCUAAUACCGCAUACGACCUGAGGGUGAAAGCGGGGGAUCGCAAGACCUCGCGCAAUUGGAGCGGCCGAUAACAGAUUAGGUCGUUGGGGGGGUAAAGGCUCACCAAGCCAACGAUCGGUAGCUGGUCUGCGAGGACGACCAGCCACACUGGGACUGAGACACGGCCCAGACUCCUACGGGAGGCAGCAGUGGGGAAUUUUGGACAAUGGACGCAAGUCUGAUCCAGCCAUGCCGCGUGCGGGAAGAAGGCCUUCGGGUUGUAAACCGCUUUUGUCAGGGAAGAAACGCUCCGAGUUAAUACCUUGGGGUAAUGACGGUACCUGAAGAAUAAGCACCGGCUAACUACGUGCCAGCCGCCGCCGUAAUAC
rnacentral:rRNA from 1 species